GGCCUGAUAUUCGGUGGAGAGCCGCAGCUGCCCGCCGCGGGGCCCCAGGCGCAGCACGCUCUCGCGCGUGGGCCGCAGCUGGCAGCACAGGAAGUCCAGGUGGAAGAGCGGCGGCGUGGGCGGCCCGGCGCGGCGCGGCGAGUGCGGGCUGGUAUCGGCCGAGCUCGCUUUUUCUGGGGACAGAGAGUGAGGCCUGGACACCCGGCGCCGGCCCAGGCCUGGCCGCGGGGAGCCGAAGGGCGACGAGUCCGGCGACGAGGCCGUGUCGCUGUCGGGGGCCCGGCAGAGGCGCAGGUCCGGGGCGGAGACGUGCAGCCGGGACUGCGCCGCGGGGAGUCCCCCGGCCGGGGCAGGUGGCGGCCCGUGGAACAGGGAUUCCCGCCGGCGCGUGUGCGGGCUCUCGGGCAGGAAGGCCCAGCCUUCGCGGCCCGCCAGGGCCGAGAGGGUCCAAAUCCCGUCUCAGAUGGGAGUGCUCGGCGGAGCGGGGCUGGGCGAGGAGCGCAGAGGAGUCAGAGGUGAGUGAUGCUGGCGUACACCGGGCGGUCAGCCACCGCGCCCCGGUCUCCGGACCCACUGGGAGCGCGGACCCCUAUUUGAGCAGAAAAAGAAAGGGCGGCGCAGUCUGGGGGGCUGGGGAGAAAUGGAGGGAGCAAAGGGCCAGUCAGUCACAUUUUCAUAUACGGGCCUCCGUCACCAAGUACACAGAUUCUCCCACUGGUACUAAAGAUGCCCCAUUCACCUUACAGUUAGAGGGCCCAUAUAGUAUCCACCAGAACCCUAGGGUACUAUUAGGACAAAUAGGAUAAUAACCGCAUUAUAGCAAAAGGACUCAGAUCCCAACCCCCCUGGGACACUGCGCCCUAGGCGGGCUCACGCCCUCCUCCCCCGCCCAUUUCGAAGACUUGGGUUUUCCUCUGGGAUCCAGUCUGGCGCCCCUUGGGACUUCCUCCCUUUGCCAGGCUGCCCCGGCUCAAGCUUCUCUGGCCUGAGCCAUCCCUCAGUCCUAGCCCCACCUGCCUCCUCUGGCUCCUCCUUCCCCUCCUCGAGUCGCUCCAAGCCAGAAGAGGACUCACUUCUGCUCCUGGCAGCCAGGGGACACACCUGGCUGCUGACCUCAGGACACCCUGGGCUGGUCCAAGGAGACGCACCUCCCGGGGACACAGAAUCCCACCCCCAGUAGCCCUGACCGUCCAGCUCCCGCGCCUCCCAGCCCUACCGCAUCCCGCGUCUGCAGGGCGGGGCCGGGCCGUUGGGUCGCCCCUCCUACUCUCCACUCCUUUUCUCCCUCGGAAACCACCGAGCACAAAGGCAGCAUUGAUUCUCCGCCACCCUCAGAGCGGUCUCCGGAAGGCUCCGCCACCACGCGCUCGCCUCACCCCUGCGCGGAGCCACCAAGAGCACCGUGUUCCGACCCUCUGCCCUGGGAUCCGAGCUAGCGACCCUCUCCGUCGCGCGCCCGGAGUGCUGGCCUCACCUGUGGGUCGCUUUUGGGUUCUGGCCUCAGGCCCUGAAACUUUCAGAGCCAGAGGGGAGCAGCUUUCUCUGCAGCUUGCUCCCCCAGCGCAGUCCUUAUGGGAGGAGCUGGCAGGGGCCUCCGCUGCCUACGUCCUACCUCUUUUCCUGGAUAAACACAGCUCUGUCUGCGCGGCCAUCAGCCCGGUCUUCUGACUUCCUCCAGCUGAAGCCAGGUUUCUAGCAACAAUCCAUUCCUGUGCCCAGGCCUCCUCUGCUGAAGCUGGGCUGCUUAGGGGUGGGGGAGGGCUACAGAGAAGAGGGAGACGGCCAUCAGUGGACAGUGGCCACUUCUUUGGUGCUCGGUUCCAACCCCAGCCCUCACAGGUGAAGUCCAUCUUCUGUAAAACCCUCCUGGUUGAAAUCCUGCCUUGGCCCCCAGUGCCCUGUUCUGGAGCCAUUCCAAUAGCUCCAAGGCAGAGUGACUUGCAGUGAUCAGUUGUCUGCAUUAUUCUGGCUAAUAGUUCUCUGAAUUAUUGUGGCUAAAGGAAAAGUGGCCAGACUCAGGAUUUCUGGACUUAGAAACACUGAAGAUAAAGCUGGAUCCAACAGUCAGGAUCAAGCUGGCCUAUGUCCUCCAUCCCUGACAGAUCUUAGGAAGCACAGGCCACCACAGACAAGAUGAGACCAUCAGUUGCAGUCUAGACACACCUACCAUCCUUCAGUCUCUGAAAGGAAGCAAGGCUAGUUCCUCCCCUAGGACCACUCUUCUCCUUCAUGCUUCAGCUCUGGAGGCCCUCACUGACACCCUCCCAUCUAAAUUAGGGGCACCUGCUGUACACUUUCAUAGUACCUCAUACUUUUCCUUUAUAGCAUUGAUUACAGUUUUUCCCCCUCUAUUUAUGUGGUUAUUUGUUUAAUGUCCACCUCUCUUACUAGACUAAGAAUCUUAAAAACAGUGCUUGGUGCAAAGCAGGUACUCAGUCAGGAUGUAUUUGAUGAGUGAAGUAGUAAGCAAAAUUAUACUUGAAUCAAUUUGUUCAUCCAUUCAUUGAAGUGCCUAAAAUGCACCAGGCACUGUGCUAGGGGGAUACAUAGAAUAGAGAGCUGUCUAAGGGGAGAGACAGACAAUAAACAUGCAAACAACAAUAAGACAAAUCCUGAAAUGCAGGAAAAAAGAUGAAACAAACCAGUGAAUGCAAUGAUUAUUGUGUCAUCUAAUACUUGAAGAUUUUAACAAAGCAAGUGUUUCUUCUGUGGCGAUCCCUGGUGGCCUCCAGACCUUCCAUUCAUGUGGCUUCUGACUCAGCUCAGCCCUGGUGUUGUUUCUGGGGAGGGUCCAUGUUCUUGGAGUGCUGCAGUAUUCAUUGCUUUGUCAUCAGUCAGAUGGGCUGGGAAUCUGGAUUCUGCGACUGACUAGCUGUGUGACCUCUAGCAUGUAACUUAAUCUCUUUGGGGCUUACCUUUUCCAUCUGGAAAACAGAAAGAAUAAAACUCUCAGAGUUGGUAUGAGGAUUAAAGAUAACACGUGGGCAUCAUUUAGGCUGACAUCCGCUAAAAGUGUGAGAAAACAGAAAACCCAACUCAGUCUGACUUAACAAUAUGGACACUUGACUUCCAUAAUAAGAAGUCCAGAAGUAGGUAGGACCCAGGGAACACAACUGUUUUAUUUUUCUUCCUCUUCUUUUUUCUCUUUAGGCUAGUCAAGUGAAGCAAUGGGAGUGGAGAUGGAACAAAGAAAUCUGCAAUUGGUUGUGAUCAAUUAGUUGUAAACACUACUGCACUUGGACCAACCUCUUCCUUUUCCUGACUGCUUAGGAAGGAUGGAAUGUAUUUCCUUCCUUCUGGGAGUGUUUGAAUGAAGAUUAGACUCUCCUUGACCAUGAAUGAAGAGCAACCAGUUUUUUAGUAUACAGUGAUUUAGACUCUGGGUCUAGAGUGUAGAUAUCAUGGGCACUGUGAAAGCACAGAAGGAGAAAAGGUUUUUAUGUGAGUAUAUGGGAGAGGAAAUAGUUUAUUGUCAUAAGCUUUUUGGCUAUGGCCUCCAUUACAUCUCUAGCUUUUGGAAGGCACUAAAUUGAGGCCAUUCAAAUCCAUGUCCACCUAUCCUUUGCCCGUCACGAGACUGAUGGCUUAGGAAGCAUGUGGUCUAGGUACUAGAGAGGGAGCCUGACCCACCUACCUCACCGCUGCUGCUGAAUUUGUGCACAACUCUCUGACCUGGUUCCAUGUCACAAAGGGUUUCAUUCUCUCUGAUUCCCUGAAUCCCCAGCUCUAGCCGCAGAUCCUGGAACCCUAGCAUAUGCCUGAAGCUGAAUAUUUUACUUGCCAGAGUAAGAGUUUUUACAUAGACUCUGUCAUCUUCUACUGGCCCUCCUCUUAAACUGAGGCAGCGGCUGCUAGCUACUCACCAAACCUAUUUUACUUUCUUUUUCUUUUUUUUUUUUUUUUUUUGAGACAGAGUCUUGCUCUGUCGCCCAGACUGGAGUGCAGUGGUAUGAUCUCGGCUCACUGCAACCUCCGCCUCUCAGGUUCAAGCGAUUCUCCCACCGUAGCCUCCUGAGUCGAUGGGAUUACAGGUGUGUGCCACCACACCCAGCUAAUUUUUGUAUUUUUUGGUAGAGAUGGAGGUUUCACUAUGUUGGCCAGGCUAGUCUCUAACUCCUGACCUCAAAUGAUCCACCCACCUCAGCCUCCCAAAGUGCUGGGAUUACAGGCAUAAGCCACCGUGCCUGGCCCCCCAUUUUACUUUCUUCUUUAACAUAUAGUUAGAAUGAAAACAUGUUGAAGGGAUGAUGGCAUUAGAAAAUUACCACUGGCCACUAUCACAGUAAUAAUUGCUUUAGGCAAGAAUGAUCGAUAAAAGCUAAAAUUAAUGGGCAAAAGUAUGAUGAGAAACAGGAUAUUUAUACAAUCGCAAAGUGCCUCCCAAUAAGAUACUUAUUAAAAAGGUAAAAAUGGUAAUUUUCAGUGGAGAAAUAUGGCAGACACCAUAGUAACCAACUGAUCAAAGGGAACAUUGGCAUUAAUGGGACAAAUCAGCAUCACGUUUCUCUUGUCAUGAAGCACUGAGAAGGCCACAGCAUUGCUUCUGAAAUAUUGCAACAAAAAUGAAUAACUUGAAUCUAAUGAUGAGGAAACAUUGGAGAAAUCCAAACCUUGGAACACGCUACAAAACAACUAACUCGUACUCUGAGAAACAUAUCAGUGGACUGGAUUCCAAACAGUGGCUCAUGCCUGUAAUUUUAACACUUUGGGAGGCCAAGGUAGGCAAAUCACUUGAGGCCAGCAGUUUGAGGCCAGCCUAGGCAACAUAGGGAGACCCCAUCUAUACAAAAAAUUAAAUAAAAUUUAUCUGAGCUUGGUGGCAUGUGCCUGUAGUCCCAUUUACUUGGGAGGCUGAAGCAGGAGGCUCCCUUGAGCCCAGAAAUUUGAGGCUGCAGUGAUCUAUGAUCACGUCAUUACACUCCACCCUGGGCAGCAGAGCAAGGCCCUGUCUCUAAAAAAGGAAAUUAAAAAAAAAAAAAAAAACAUGUCAAGGUAAUGAAAGACAAAGAAAGAGGAACUGCUUCAAAUUAAAGGGGAUUAAAGAAACGUGACAGCUAAAUGUGACAUAUGAUUCUGAAUUGGAUCCUGAACCACAGAAAGGAUAUUAGUGGGCAACUGGCAAAAUCUGAAUAAAGUUUAUAGUUUAUAAAAAAAAAACAGACAAAAAACAUGUAGUUAGACCAUAUUUUCUUUCUUUUUUUUUUUUUUUUGAGAUGGAGUCUCGCUCUGUCACCCAGGGUGGAGUGCAGUGGCGCCAUCUCGGCUCACUGCAACCUCCGCUUCCCGGGUUCAAGUGAUUCUCCUGCCUCAGCCUCACAAGUAGCUGGGACUACAGGCGAGCACCACCAUGCCCUGUUAAUUUUUGUAUUUUUAAAAAUUUUUAGUAGAGAUGGGGUUUCACCAUAUUGGCCAGGCUGGGGUUAGACCAUAUUUUCUAACCAGCUUUCUUUGCAGUUUGGUGGGGCUUUGUGUCUGAAUUCUGGCCAAUGGAACCACGUGGAGGCCUGGCCCAGAACAUCUCCCUGUGGAUUCUCUCAUCUGGCAACUGGAUGCCUACACGAAGGGUGAUUUUGGAGUCAUGUGUUGGAGAUCACAAAGCUUUUGUCAGCCAGGUUCCUGAAUGACUGCUAGACACCAUGGGCUGAACUUUAUGAGCUCCAGCACCACCUCCAGCCUUCAGUGACUGUCUGGAGCAGGCAUCCGGAUGGAAGAGAAGGGGGACAACCAUGAACUUGGUGACCCACGGUCAGCCUGAUUUCCCUUGUGGACACAUUUAUGCCCAGUGUGCAUUCCUCCUGAGGUCUGUUCCAAGUCUGGAGGCAGCAGAGUAGAGUGGAGAGAACAGUGGACUUGGAAUCUCACCUCCCAGAUUAGAGUCCUGGAUCUGACUUUGAUUGCUGGUGCUGCCUCGGGCAAGUUACUUUAGCUGUGUGCAUCUCCAUUUCCCCAUGGAUAGAACAUGGGUUUUGGGUAGAAGUGUCUGAUAGCUGUACUGUGCUUUACGGUUCAUGAGCACGCACACAUAGGCCCAUAAUAUCAUAUCUCUGGUCACCCUGGCAGGUAGAUAUUAUUGCCCCAGGUUUCAGGUAAGAAGACUAAAGACCAGGGGUCAAUUGCUUGCUCAGAGUCCCACAGCCAGCAGCAGCCAGGCAGGACACCAAGUCAGAGUCUAGAUUCCGGAUCUUGCCCUCUUCCAAGUGUACCACAUUCUUCUCAAAGUGGCCUCUCAGGUCUUUUGUCCAGAAAAUUUUGAGACUUUGAUGAGAAGCCCAUAUCUGCACACUGGGGAUUAGGCCAGAUAACCCUGUGUGUCCUUCCAGGCCUGGUAUUGUGAGGCUGAAGCCUAGUGCCCCACACUCCCUUCCUCACCCCUUAGAGAAAGAUAGAGACUCCAGGGCCAGCCUGGUGGGUGCUGAACCUGCCCUGCUGAGCCAAGCCCAGGAGGCAGCCAAGGUCCUACCAGUGACCUUACCCUGGGGGCCCCUCCAGGUAGGAGCCUGGUUGGAAAAGACAGACCGACUUCUUCUGGGUUGGCUGGAAAAAGAUGACAUACUCAAAGCCUUGUCCUUCCACUUGGAUGCACCUGGUGAAGAUGCGACAGUCACCUUUGUCUGGGGAGAGAUAGGCAGUGUUGCAGCCGGAGAAGGGAGGGUAUGGUCAGGAUGCAGCACCAUUUGGUUGAGUCUUGCCUCUGGUACAAGAUUAAGGAGAGAAAACCAGAGGACACCAGGUCCACCCCCAGGGAGCCUUCCCUCUGGGAGCAGAGGCACAGUUGCUGUCCUCACAGAGCCUUUCUGUCUAGGGCAGAAACAUGCAGGAAGUGCCCUGGCUGAGAAUGGAGAUAGGAUCAGGGCCAGGGCAAGACUUUAAGAGACCAUAAGCAUUGAAAAUUGAAAAUGUAAUUACUCAUGUAACUCACAUAUAAUUCAAAAGAAUAAUAGUAAACAGUAAAAUAAGAGCAGAAAAGUCCAUCAAAGUUCUGAUUUUUUUUUUCCAAGACAGCUACCACUACUACAUCCUUUUUUGGAAGUAUCAAAUUCUUUGAAAAAAAAUUAUGUUGGUAUUCCUGCUUUGUUUGUGCCAUAAACCCAAGGGUAGUCUGUCCCCUGUACCACUCCUUCAUCACUAGGCAGGAAGACAACAUAUAUGAGUGAGAGAGACAGGGAGAUACACAUGCGUGCACACACGAGUGCACACACACACACAAGAAGGUGGAAGCUCUAUCAUUAGGAUCCAUUAGGAUCAUUAGGUGUUUCAGGAGUGCUGCUCCAGACCCCGCACAGCAGGGAUGAUGUGCAGGGCCUCAGUGGAAGGGGUGUGGGGUCCAAGGGCUUUCAUGGGGUUGGGGCGGAAGGCUUGGGAUGAGGCUUGAUAGUUAGGGAGGGGCAGUCAGUGAGAAGUCGGGGCAGGAGCUGGGCUGGCUGUCCUCCAGUGGGGACAUGCUUGGCUGGGAGCGAAGGUGGGCCCACCAGGGUGUGCUGCUUCAGAUGGGAGGAGGGGAGCUGGAGACCUGAGAGGACACCCGCCGCCUGUUGCCUGGGGCUGCAGCAUCAGGGGUGGAGUUGGACAGCAGGAAGAACUCGCUGAGAACUGGAAGGCGGUCUGUGAAGUUGCUUCUCAGUCUUAGAACACAGGGAAGGGCGGCUGGGGUGUGUGUACUCAUGGUCCUGUCCUUACCUGAGGAAACUGCCAGUCCAGAUGGGAGCUUGAGUCCCCGGAUGUGGUCUCUGUUGGACUUGAAGGAGGGCAGCUUGAUCCAGCCGCUAGACUUAGUCUUCUCCAGAAAUUCUUGGUACAGGCUCAGCAUGUCCGAACACCAGCUGGCAUUGGGAAGAGCAUAAUCCUUCAAGUCUGUCUUCUCUGGCAAGAAUCUUGAGAACUGGGCAGGAAAAAUCAGAAUGACUAGACAGCAUCCUGGAGGGGGGCUGCUGCCUGGGCUCGGGACCUCUAAACAGCUGUUCCUGGGUGCUGGGGCUUCUCAAUCCCUUCUGCCAGAGUAUCGAUCCAAGGGAAAGGGCCCAUAUUCCUUGCAGGGGGGCUGCGGACCCCUAUGGGUGACGGGGCAUAAGGAUGCUAAAGAGCAAGGGAAGGGCGGGCAGGGAGUGGGGCCAGAGAUGAUGGGCAUGCUGCUCGAUGUGGUGCCUUACCCUUGUUCUGCUUAAAACAUGUGAGCAGUUCUUUAAAGUUGACAACUGCUCAUAUUAGCCUCACUGUACAGAUGGGGAAACUGAGGGAAUACGGCCAAGGUUGCCAAGCAUGUGACUGUGAGAGCUGGUGGUCGCACUAGAUGCUGUCUCCUCUGCAGGGCAGGGUCACAGUUGUUGAGGACCAUUCUAGCAACCCCCACCUCAGGGGCUACUCCAGCUCUGCCCACUGCUGUGGGCCUGCCUGGGCAGGGUGGCUCCUUUGAAACACAUUUGGGCCCCCACAGAGGUGUGGUGCCAUGGCUGGGGCACAGACUAUGUGCCCAUCUGUGUGACGUAAGGAAGUCCUCUGUAGCGUCACCUGCUCAUACACCAGUCACAACUGUAGACAGCAUGUGAGCUGCUUGCCAAUGCCACAGAUGGGGUCCUCUGUCUGGGGAUACCCCAGCUUUGCUGCAGUAGUCUGAGUCCCACAGGAGGAAAGUCAUUUGUUGGUGGCCACACAAGACACAGAGCCAGAUGCAGGUCUCCUGGUAGUUUUAGUUUUGAAUGGGGGCAACUUGGUAUCCCAGAGCACUUUCUCUUUGCCAAAUCAAAUAGCUCCUCCGAACACUGCCCACCUGCCCUGGCCAUGGGCUGGGAAGAGGAGAUUUGGGGUGCUCCUUAAGCCCUAGGCUCCUGGGAAAACACUGCCCAUCUGGCUGAGCUGGGAACUCACCAUGGAGUCUGUGGAGGAUCCAAAUGCUGAGGCAGGGUUGAGUCUGGGCAGGAUACGGGGGGCCUCAAGAAGGCCUCUGUGGUGGCCAAGUCUUGCUGCCACCUGGAAGCAUCUCCUUAUCAUGGCCAAGUGCAAGGAUCCAGCCCUGCUUGGAUGGAGGGUCUUGGCUGACUCCCAAGGAGUGCUUUCAGCUGCACUUGGGGCCGCUUCUCUCCCUUCUGUUGCAGGCUUUCUUUCAGAGAGCUAGGCGAGGCUGGGCUGGUGUGCUGCAACACCCACAGAUGCUCGGCGCCUUUAGCUGGUCUAGGAGCCCCACCCAGUGCUUGGGGAGGGACAGAUGCUGCUUGGGCAUGAAAAGGCAGCAGGACUGGCUUGAGUUGCAAAAGGAGUAAACAAGUACAUAAACAAAUAGUAUGGGGUAUAUAGAGCCUUGGAGAGCUGCCUGGGGGUUCUGAGGGAGAAUCCAAGAAUAUUUCCAGAAGGAUAAGGGAAGCCUGUCCCUUGAUUGGAGGGUGCUGGUGGAGUGUUCUUGGUAUGUGCUCUGCAGUGUAUACCGGACUCUGAAAACUCUGGUAUGAUUUUGUGACUCAGAAAACCAACUCACAGGCCGGGUGCGGUGGCUCACGCCUGUAAUCCCAGCACUUUGGGAGGCCGAGGCGGCGGAUUACGAGGUUAGGAGAUCGAGACCAUCCUGGCUAACACGGUGAAACCCCGUCUCUACUAAAAAAAAUACAAAAAAUUAGCCGGGCGUGGUGGCGGGUGCCGGUAGUCCCAGCUACGCAGGGGGCUGAGGCAGGAGAAUGGCGUGAACCUGGGAGGUGGAGCUUGCAGUGAGCUGAGAUCUAGCCACCGCACUCCAGCCUGGGCGACUGAGCGAGACUCCGUCUCAAAAAAAUAAAAAUAAAAAAAUAAAAAAAAAGAAAACCAACUCACAGCCUUAGACACCUCUUUUUUUUUUUUUUUUUUUUUUUUGGUGAGACGGAGUUUCAAUCUUGUCGCCCAGGCUGGUGUGCAAUGGCGUGAUCUCGGCUCACUGCAACCUCCGCCUCCUGGGUUCAAGUGAUUCUCCUGCCUCAGCCUCCUGAGUAGCUGGGAUUACAGACACACACCACCACACCCAGCUAAAUUUUGUAUAUUUUUUUUAGUAGAGAUGGGGUUUUGCCAUGUUAGCCAGGCUGGUCUUGAACUCCUGACCUCAGGUGACCUCCCAAAGUGCUGGGAUUACAGGCGUGAGCCACCGCACCCGGCCAACACCUCUUCUUAUAUCCCGGACAAGGGUUAGCACAGGAGAGUUUCACCUGCUGGUCUCUGGCUGGGGAUAGGAGUUGGAGGUGGGGGAGGGCUUGACAGGGAGGGCAGAAAAUAAUUUGGGAGGAAACAGCUUGGCAGGGAUACUCUCAUGUUUUGGGAACCCCGUGCCCAGGGAGUGGCUCAUGUCAGCAGGCAGUGCUGGGAGUGAGGUGGGCGCGGCAGUGAGGCUUUGUUGAGUGGGAAGGGACACUCAGCCAACAUCUGCAAGGCAGUGGGAUUUGGUGGUGGUGUGUCUUCUAUUGAAUUUAAACUGCCAAUUUUCAAUUAAAAGUCUCAGUUUUAAAUUGACUAAAAUAAAAGCAUGUUCUAAAGAUCAGUCCUCGCGCAGUGGCUCAAGGCUGUAAUCUCAGCAUUUUGGGAGGCCGAGUGAGACCUUGUCUUAAAAAAAAAAAAAUCAGAACUGUGCAAAGGUGGAAUCAUAACAGUGAUGAUGACGAUAAUAAUAGUUGUGAUGAUUAUGACAUUUUGGCAGGUUCCAAAAGAUGAAACUGAUUUAAUGCGGAAAUUUAAAAGAUUUGGUUCACCCUCUGUAUUUGGUUGCCCUAGAAGAAGACUAGAAUAUAAAUAUUUCCCCUCACCUCCUGCAAAGGUUUGAAUUAAACUUCCUCAAGGACUGGGGGAACCAUUUUUUUUUGUUGUUGUUAUUUUGUCAGAGUCUCACUCUUAUUGCCCAGGAGUGCAGUGGCACCAUCUCGGCUCACUGCAACCUCUGCCUCCCAGGCUCAAGCAAUUCUCCUGCCUCAGCCUCCCAAGUAGCUGGGAUUACAGGCGCUUGCUACUACGCCCGGCUAGUUUUUAUAUUUUUAGUAGAGACGGGGUUUCAUCAUGUUGGCCAGGCUGGUCUCAAACUCCUGGCCUUGGCUGAUCUGCCUGCCUCAGCGUCCCAAAGUGCUGGGAUUACAGGCAUGAGGCACCACGCCCAGCUGGAAGUUUUUUUGGUUGAUUCAGCCUCUGGGUCUAAGCAAAGAUAUUUGAGUUGGUUGCCAUCCCCAGAUAAGUGAGAAUAUCUGGCAGCACUCAUUUUCAGCCCUGGGCCGCAGCCGUUGCUGUGAGGCAGAAAUUAAAAAAAGAUAGUAAGUACUACAUUCAUUCACUCCAAGAAAAGUAACAGACAAGGCUAUAAGAAGGUCAUAGUGACCUAGUCUGAGAAGUAAAAGCCAAGGCCCAGAAUGUGGCAAGGCAAAGGUUAAAAAGAAAGGAAGAGCAAGUUUUUCUCUGCCUAGCAAGCUCACUUCAAAGACAAUUAUAAGAUAAUGCUCUUCGAGAAGUCGAAACCAAAGGAAUAGGCUCCAGACAUCCCCCGUCUGGAGCAAGGGUGAAGGAAAAAAAAAAAAGGACAAAUGUCUGUCUGUAUUUAGCCAGUUCUUGUUUUUUCUUUCCACGCAGCUACAAGGCCACCAGCUAUGCAAAGCCACAAGUUAUGCCAAGUCAUCAGUUAUGCUAUAGAUUAUGUGACCUGUCAUUAUAUGAUUAACUGCCUGUUUUGCUUCUGUAAGCCUGCUUAUAAAAAUCCUGCUCAGUCUUUGUUCAAUGCUCAGCUUUUUGGAUGUGAAUCCACUGAGCCAAUGCCUACCUUAAAAUAAACAUCGUCCUGUUUUUCCAUAUCUGUC
rnacentral:lncRNA from 1 species